rnacentral:rRNA from 1 species
GACGAACGCUGGCGGCGUGCCUAAUACAUGCAAGUCGAGCGAAGUUUUUCUGGUGCUUGCACCGGAAAAACUUAGCGGCGAACGGGUGAGUAACACGUAAAGAACCUGCCUCAUAGACUGGGACAACUAUUGGAAACGAUAGCUAAUACCGGAUAAUAGCAUUAACUGCAUGGUUGAUGUUUAAAAGUUGGUUUUGCUAACACUAUGAGAUGGCUUUGCGGUGCAUUAGCUAGUUGGUGGGGUAAAGGCCUACCAAGGCGACGAUGCAUAGCCGACCUGAGAGGGUGAUCGGCCACACUGGGACUGAGACACGGCCCAGACUCCUACGGGAGGCAGCAGUAGGGAAUCUUCCGCAAUGGGCGAAAGCCUGACGGAGCAACGCCGCGUGAGUGAAGAAGGAUUUCGGUUCGUAAAGCUCUGUUGUUAGGGAAGAAUGAUCGUGUAGUAACUAUACACAGUAGAGACGGUACCUAACCAGAAAGCCACGGCUAACUACGUG